rnacentral:tRNA from 1 species
GGGCGAUUAGCUCAGCUGGGAGAGCGCCUGCCUUACAAGCAGGAGGUCAUUGGUUCAAGCCCAAUAUCGCCCA